CACGAAGGCGAAGACGAAGACGCAGACCUUCAUCAGGGUGUCCCAGUAAACGUACGGCUCCGGGAACUGUAAGGCACACUCUGUUAUUCCUGCAGCGGCCGUCGGGGGAGGAGAGGGGAGAGGAGGGAGAGACGUGAGGACGAAGGCGGGAAUCCCGGCGGCCGACGACAGGAUCCAGAUGCACACGUUGAUCAUCUUGGCCUUGACGGGAGUGCGAAAGUCCAGGGCUUUGACCGGGUGACAGACGGCCACGUAUCGGUCCACGCUCAUCAUGGAUUUCAAACAAUCUCAAUAUAGCGUUACCCCGGCAACGAGGGAUGUGCCACAGUGGUCUGCCCAAUCAGAGGCCACGCUGAGGAAGCACUCUGUGACAUGAACCCUGGACAUGAUCCUGGAGUUCAGGAGAGAGGUUUCAACAGAAGUGAUGACAUCAUCAUUAAGCUAAAAGAUGACGUCGUUGCCGUGGUGAUCGUGAAAGUCCCGACGACCUGCCUACGUAGAAACGCACGGACCAGUGCCUUUACGAAGAGGUUAUCGCCAGCGACGCCUUAAGACCAGAAGUUAAUGCUGUUUGGUGGGCCUUGGCACCCAGCUAUGCUCUGCAGCAGAGUGGCGCCAGCAGCCUGCAGUCACAUGUUCCUCUGGUCUGGUGAUGCACUAAAGUGAAAACUGCUAAGUGACAUUGAGCAAGGCACAGCCAUGAGAGACGAGGAGAAAAUCCAGUGAGUGAAAAUAGUUUAAUUUGAUAAGAAACAUGCAGAAAAGAUACAUUUCUUUUUUUCAAAAUUUUACUCCAUCUGAGCACAGUGACAUGCCAAAUUAGGAUUUCGCCAAAAAAACAAAAUUUGAAUAAAAUUCAAUUCAUUAAAUAAAAUUCUCAAAACUGAGAAACAUGCAGAAAAGAAAAAAAAAUUCCAGUUUUCAUGAAAUUAAAAAAAAAUUCUAAAAUAAUAUGUUGUCUGCAUUUUGUCUGCAUUUGUUUCUCAUCAAAAUAUAGUAUUAUUAAUUUUUUUUAUAC